AUGAUUGAAACACAUCAGAACACAUCCUUCUUUUUAUCAUCCCUGGAAGUAACAAGAACAUAGUACUUGCUCAUUCAUUUCAAGCUUGAAGAAGUGGUGCUACCUAAGAGAGUCAAUGGCACUCAAAACCCUCUUGAAACCAACUCUCUUUCUCACUCUCAGAGUCAACAUUUCACACCAUUUUCACCGUCCAAACUCACUUCCUUCAACGACAAAAUCAAGUAACAACACACACAUCCACACCCACCUAUGUUGCUACAAGUUCAACACUGCCAUUGAUGGUUCAUCAAAAGGGUACCUUGAUCUAAACGAUGAGGAACUCAUGCGACAGUGCGAGAUGGACACGUUCAAGAGUUCAGGACCAGGUGGUCAACACCGUAACAAGCGUGAGUCCGCAGUGCGCCUCAAACACCUACCCACUGGGAUCAUUGCUCAGGCUUCCGAGGAACGUUCCCAACAUAAGAACCGCGCUUCUGCAUUGAACCGCCUUCGCUCUCUUAUAGCCCUAAAAGUCAGGAAAACAGUGGAUCGUGAUGCUUAUUUGCCGCCCCGAGAGCUUCUUCAGAUACUUCCUCCCAAAUCAUCCAUUAGAGGGUCGGAUUGUGGUCCACAAAUUGGACCUAAUAACCCAAAAUUUGCAUUGGGAAUGCAAGCUCUUUUGGAUCUCAUUUUUGCAGUUGAGGGUUCCAUUUCGGAAGCUGCAAAAUAUCUUGGGUUAUCUACUGGGGCACUGUCUCGGUUAAUCCUGUCUGAUGAUUCACUUAGAAUGGAAGUAAAUGAUCUGCGUGCAUCAAAGGGUAUGAAGCCUCUCAAGUAGAUGCUCUCAGAUUUUCAUUCCUUAUACAGGGUACGUACCCUCUCAAGUAGAAGCUCUCAUCUUCAUUCCUUACGCAGAAAAAAAUUCUUUGAACCUAUACAAUACAAGGUAAUCUCCAUUGGAGAAUCGAGUUUGACUAUGAAAAAUACUGAAGAUAAUGAGAAGAAAGGGGGAAAAUUGUUGAAUUUCAGAUUUGGGGAGAACUCAUUCUCCAAAACACAAUGAGUACAGUUGAAUAAAGCUGGUAAGGUGUGUUGAAGCAACAUUGAGAUAGCAACCUAAAAUAGAAGAUCCACUUCUGUAGAUUUUUUAAAACAAUAUAUAUUGAUUUUCUAGCUCUGUAUACAGUUUUUAUUUUUCCUUGUUUCUACCGAACAUCAAAUCCGUAACGUGUAAUAAAAGAUGCCGAUAUUUGUAGCUUUAAUUAAAACAUUUGUGCUCUACUACCUUCUUAUUCUUUAUUUGUUUCUACAGCAAGAUUAUCACCAGUAUCUAGUUGAUCUUGUAAUUCAUUACUCUAGUAAUGUUUCUUCGGAUGCUCAAUGGCAUCCACUAACAAGAUUAAUAUACAACAGCAAUUUAUU